AUAACUACCAACCGCUGCCCCAACAUAAAUAAACCGUCAUAUAGCAAUUGGAACGCCACCGUCUCAAAUACUUGCAAUUAUCCCACCGAUUCAUUAACUGUUAUCAUCCAUCACCCUCAUGGAACCGGCACAACCAUUCAUCAACCGACAUAUCUCCUUCCACCAUCGUUCCACCGUCGUCAGCAACCGUUUCUACCUCUAUAUAACCCUCACACCACCAGAAUAAUUGCCGGUCAUGUAUCCACCCAUCUGAAACCUUUGCAGACUCAUGGUGUGAGGGGAGUUAUAUUCAUAAAUCCAGUCACUCAAUUUCCGAUUAAUAUAACCCUUCCGCCGCAAGUAAUUUGCAACAAACUCCAACGUAGUCGUCACCGGAUUCCGCUCUGAUUUUCAUUGUACUCCACCGGCAUGAGUUCAACAAGAAGAGACGACCGAUGAUGGUUUUAUUAAUUGGAUAAUAUCGCAACAAAACUUCAUCGUCAAUUAUCAUACCUAUAAUGGUACAAAGCAUGGAGGAUUUCUGGAGGUGCAACCUUGCCAAAGAAAUUAAAAAGAGGAAGGAGAUUGAAGCAAAGUUAAAAGACCAAGAAGAAUAAGCGAACCGGUUCAGACAGAUCAUAGAUGUAGCAUUCCUACGAUAAGAAGACGUUUCAUUUGGAGAAAAUGAUGGAAUGGCACGUGGCCGCAUAGCGUCUCUAGAGGUCCCUCCGGUUGCGCCUGAUGUCGUGUUUUGUCGAAAUCGCUAUCCUUACGAUCCAACAACAAUAAUACACUCAUUUUAUGCUUAUACUCUAUCGUUGGUGGACACACCGUAAUGGAACCGAUAAAAACAUCCAUAGACCAUCAUGACUUUACGGUUGAAGAAGUUCAGUCGUGCUAUGGUGGUUGUGGUUCGGUGGUUGUGUUAUGGUGGUGGUUCAUUGGUGGUGUUGUAGCGAGGGCUCCAUGGUAGUGUUGUGAUGUCGAUGGUGUGAUUGAUUUCCCUCCUAUGCCUUUUAACGCCAUUCUUUUGGUAUUUGUGUGUUGAGUAUAUGUGUAGAAGAAACUGGAUUGCUUUGAAUAAUGGAGAAGUGAGAUAUCAAUUUGAAUGGUGAUAUUUGGAUCA